UACGUAGGCAGCGAGCGUUGUUCGGAGUUACUGGGCGUAAAGAGUGCGUAGGCGGUUUUCUAAGUUUGGUGUGAAGUCUCCCGGCUCAACUGGGAGGGUGCGCCGAAGACUGGAAGGCUUGAGUAUGGGAGAGGUAAGCGGAAUUCCUGGUGUAGCGGUGAAAUGCGUAGAUAUCGGGAAGAACGCCGGCGGCGAAAGCGACUCUCUGGUCGGAUCCUGACGCUGAGGUGCGAAAGCUAGGGGAGCAAACGGG
rnacentral:rRNA from 1 species